AGCACAGAGCCCGACGCGGGGCUCGAACCCACGAACCGUGAGAUCAUGACCUGAGCCGAAGCUGGACGCUUAACCGACGGAGCCACCCAGGCGCCCCAAGAUCACCCUUAGUUUUAAUAUGAACUGGGGGCUUUGAUUUUCGUCCCUGCCACAUGAGAAGAGGAACGCCUGGCCUUCAGGUUUAUUGUGGGGGUUAAAGGCAGCAAGUGUUUAAAUUAAGAUUUAUGGGUUAAAAAUGUGCUGCACGUGAUGGCAGGAGUAGGGCAGUUUCCUUGCUCUGUUUCUCCAGUGCCUCCUGAGGAUGAAAUCCACAGUUCCCAGCUCUAGAGGCUUGCUUUGCUAGAUCUCUCUAUGACAGCCUUGUGCCUACAGAAUGAGCUGUGAACAGGCCUGUUGGGCUGGUGCUCCUGGGAGCACUUCCUUCACUUCUCGGGUUCCUCAGGCAUCUCAGCUUUCCUCCUGCCAAGGAAUGAUGUCAUAAGUGUCCUUUAUAUCGGCCUGCAGAGUCUCGCUGCUUUCCCUUCCUCGCUACCACUACUGGCCUCUAGGGGGAGCUCAAGACCUCAUCAUCCUUGGCUUGGGUCAAAGGCAAAAAAGUAUUGCCAUAGAGUUAGUCAAGGAAGCUCAGCAUGUUUUGAGAGCCAGAAUUGGAAUUCUAGAGGCAGGAGACCAAAGUGGUCAUUGAGCCUUGGGUCUUUGUUUGGGGGCAGAAACAUCCAGUGACAGAGACACGGAUGUAGUUUUCCUCGUGGCUUUGCUGAUGCCUAAGACUUAACGCCAUGCUUCACGGUUGCGUGUUUUCGAUACUGAUUCUUAGUUUGCUAAUAUGUUUUUUUUUUCUCUCUUUAUCCUGGAAGCGAACAGGAGGAUGGUUCCAUGGAGGAAAGAUUCGCUCAUUGUCAUGAGGGCACGAAGGAAACUUUCUCGCAGGUGGUAAAGUCAGAAUCGAGUUUUGAGUGUGAAGGAGGAGUGUGCCAAGUGGAUUGUAGGGGAAAUACAUCCAACCACGUGGGAACAGCAUGUACAAAAGUUGGGAGUUGUGACAAGGACCAAGCCAUGAUGUGUUGGUGUUAGAGACGGUUGAAUCUCGAGGUCUAAGGCAGGAGCUUUGGAAGACAAAGCAAGAAUUAGAUGGCUUUCACAAAAUGGCGGGGCUCCUAUUCAUUUUCUCAGCACGUAUUUUUGGAGCAUCAGCUAUAAACACUGCUCUGGGGGUGGCUAUAGACCUGGGAACAGCAGACUCACUCCUUGCCUUCAGGGAGUGUGAAUUCCACUCCACAAUCCAGAGGUGAUGGCAUCCAUCCAAGGGUACUGGGGAGCCGUCAGAGAAAAUGGUAAGCAAAAUGGUCCAUGGGAUCAGAGCUGUGUCUCAGAAACAUUACUGAUGUUGGCAUGGAGAGUAAAUGAAGGACUGGAGACAAAAGAGUUUCCCUUCCCUAAGAGACUGCAGAGGACUUACUUGGGGCAGACGGGGAGGGAUAAAACCAGGGGAAAUUUUGGAAGUUUUUUCAGAGGUAGAUUUCAGAAGCGUAUUUGGAAGGAACUGAUACUAUUUUAUAACCCGUUGAAUGUUGAUGCUGAGGGUUGAAGGAAUAGGAGACACAAUUCCCGAGCUGUGAGGAAUAGGUAUAUGGCACAAUACACCAAGGUAGGUGAGAUAGAGCCCGCCAUUGUUGUGGCGAAGGAGGGGGGCGAAGACCAUAUUGGCACAGCCCGAGGGAGCAAGGAGGAAGAGAGGAGGACAGGAACAUCGGAGAACCGUAUCUUCAGACAGGUGAUGGAGAGGCGAAGGUCUGCGUUGGUGACUCGGGUGACGGGAAGGGUUAGGGUAGGGAUUUUUUUGGUUCGUGCGUAGUAGCUUGGCUUCCUGUUGAAGCCUUCCAGUGCCACCAAGUGAGAACGUUGACCAAAGCAUUUGUUUUCUUGAGUUGAUCUGCUCCAAGGCUGGCAACAAUGGUAGGGUAAGAUUCUUAAUGGGUACCUUCCACCCCUGUUCGUCUCAAAGGUCAGGUUAUGUGGCAGGACUGCCUGUGAGUGUUGACAUAUUCGCAUUGUCGAGGACCCUCUGGGGGGGGUGUUAAUUUUUCAGAGGGAGGGCCCUUCUCAGAUGGAAACCCUGCUUCUCGACUUUCGUGGGUGUCUAAGCCUCCGCCACUUAGGCGGGCCAGCAACUUACUCUCUCUCUCAGUUUCCUUGUUUAUGAAACAGCGACAAUACGUCAUUACAGGAAUGUUUCUGGAGACUUACAUUCUGCGCCAUUAAUUUCUUGGAGCCGAGCAAGAGGACAAGACUCCAAGGCCGAUCUGACGGAGACGAGGAAGAUACGAGACUGGCCACAUCUUUAAAGAGCAGGGGUCCCUCCGAACUGAACCACGGCCAACCUGUCCCACCAGGCGGAAAUGAUGAGCGGGAUUGCGCAUUCCGCGUCAGGCGGGCUCUGGGCGUGGCCUUGGGGCUCGUGGUUCUCAGCGAGGUGCCGGCCAGUUCCUGGGGACAGGUUCCAGAAAUGCUGGUCCACAGCCCGUCCCUGGAUCUGCUGAGCCUCAGCUCCAGAACAGGGCCUGGGGUCUGAUCUGCGCUCUCCGCCAGUGGUCUUAACGUGGCAUCCCCCUGCACACUUCUGCAGUGUCCCCCUCACAGGGCUGCUCUGGCUCCGGCUUGCAGGUCCAGUUUGUGACCCCGGAGGGGAACGUCUUCAACAACCUCGGCUCUGGUGUUACGUAGAUCGCCGAUCUGGACAUCCCCAUAAAAGCGUGGGCUCUGUGGUGGUGGCAGAUUGACGUGCCAAUAAAUCCUGCUUGCUUCGCGUUCAAAGCCGUGUGACCUUGGACGUAAGCCCCUAAGACUCUGUUUCCUCGUCUGUGAAAUGGGCGUAAUAGGAAAACUGAUCUCGCAGGCUGGCGGGCAGAGGUCGAAGGUGGCGACGUAGUCAAAGGCAGAGGCGUUUCCGGAGGUCCCUGGGUGUUGGGAAGUGUCGCCCUCAGCCCAAUCUGCGUCCUUUAAGACCUGCCCCAGACCGGCGUCCAUCCUCCGAGCCAACUGUCUUCACAUCCUCCCCGAAGCCCGUGACCCUGCCCCUGAACAUCUCAUCUCCAAGCUAAACAUCCCCGUGGACCCACGCGAGCCGGUGGUGUUUGCCAUUCCCGGAGGUAUCUCAUUUUACAGCUGGGCAAACCCCAGCAUGCCAAGUUCACGUCCUCGCAAAGUCAUGCGGUGACAGAAAUGUCCGGGCAGCAGGUGGCAAAAUGGUGUUGUUAUCGGAACCCCACAGAUAAUCAGGCCUCGCUUCUAUACUUCUCCAUCUAGUUUGUGGUUUCGAAUUUGCAAGGGCUUUCUGCGCCCCUUACCUCGUCGUUCGGCCUCCAAGGCCCCCGGGGUGAGGUCGUUGGGGGAGCUGAACGCCACGCCCUCGGGUAGGACCUCGCCUUUUUGAAACGUUUGCACGUCCAUGCUGGCCCUGGGUCUUUCUCGCACCCUCCGGAGAUGGAAAGGACAGGAAUUAUCAGAGGAAGAAACCGAGAGACGGAGGGAGCUGGCACGGGUCCCACGGAGCCGUUGACACAUUCAGGUGUCAGACUGGGACCCAAGGUCCCUUCAACACCUGCGCUGGUCCUUGGCCUGACUUUCUUCUCCUUUUCUAAACAGGAAGAAGCACUGUGUGUGUACCCUGAUCAACGCUCUCUACCAACCGUUCAGGGCCACCAUCAAUCUCCCGCGACACCAGUCAAUCAGACCCAAAGCUGGCAGAGGAGGGGAUGGCUUGAUUCGUGGGAAGGAAGAUACUCGGAUUUCGCCGAGUUGGACUCAUCUGGUGGCGGUAAAGGUUUUGAUUCAUCUGGUGACGGUAAGGGCUUGAUUCAUCUGGUGACGGUAAAGGUUUUGAAUGUCCUGCCCUCGGUCUCCCUGACUACAAUUUUUUCUGUCCUUUCAAACAUUUGGGAGCCGUCUCUAUACACUGUUGACCUUGAUGCCUAUAUUCUAUGUAGUAUGUAUACGUACUACAAUGAUGAUGUAUCCUCUCAUCAUUGGAACAUCGGGGCCUACGGGUCACCAAAGAGGCCAAAAGAUCCCUCUGCGUACUUUUCCCUGGAGGUGAGCGCUGUAGAUAAGCGCUCUGAGUUGACGGCUCGUUCGUGGCCCGGCAUCUCCAGCGGCGGCUCUGGACGACCCUCCUCUCUAGGGGUUCAGAGCUACUGCAAAUUCUGCUGGGCUUAUAGCUGUCCUGAACCUGCUGUUUGAUCUGACGUAGAUCUGACGUAGAUCUGACGUUCCGCACCCCUAGGCCCCGUGAUCGGAAGGCAUGAACCCUGUGAUGUGGUCUAAUUGGUUCAGGGCAAUAUAGCUGCCUCGUGUAUGCCUGUGAGGCAUAUACAGCGAACGGUAGGGAAGAAGGGCCCCAAAGUGAGUGUUGUGGACGGAAUUCUGUUCCCACAAGAUUUAGAUGUUGGAGCUCUAGCCCCCAGUGUGACUGUAGCUGGAAAGGGGCCUUUAAGGAGGUAAUUAGGGUUCAAUGAGGUCAUGAGGGGGGGAGCCCUAAUCCAACAGGACUGCUUUCCUUUCCUUAUAAGAAGGGGAAUGGAAGCCAGUGUGCUUUCUCCCCGUGUGUGCGCAAAGGAAAAGCCAUGUGAAGAUUCAGGGAGGAGACUGGCCACCCGCAAGCCAGGGGCCUCGGGGGAAACCAAACCCGCCAGCCCCUUGAUCUUGGACUUCCAGCCUCCAGAACUCCGAGAUGCAUCCCUCUGUUGCGUAAGCCCCCCAGUUUACAGGAUUUCUGUCACGAUAGCCCUGACGCAAUGAGUCUCCUAAGGUCUUCUCUCUCUCUGUCGGUGGGAUGUCCUCAGUGAAGGUUUUCUUAUCUGAUCCCGGGAGAAAGCUAAUUGAAAUGAUAAGACCUUUCAAAGGCACCAAAUGAGGGACCUGCUUCUCCAAGGAUGCUCAGGACUUGCCGACUCGGCUAAGGGUAGCAGACAGAACAGCUGGGAGGCAGCCUCUUCGGAGCCCUUGCCUCCCGGGUAGCAGCAACCUGGAGUUUUCCAGUCUGGAGGUCUCCCGCGUGGGCCCGAUGUACUCGCUGAGCGUACUUUGUGCUGGUGGGUCUGCCGCAUUCGUAUCUUCUGCUCUGAUGGAGGGAGCGCAGAGCUCCCCCAGCUACUUAAUUCCCACGUGUCAUUGGUUUGUCAUUCGAAAUCGCAGGCGUGGACGGAGGCCAGGCCCGGGGGCCUCCUCUCCCUCCUUGCUUACUGAUAAGUGGAAACACACCCGGCUGCCUUGCACAAAUAAUCCAGCAAAUCCUCGAGAUGUGUUUUCACGAUUGAUUAGAAACGUCAGUGCGGUGCAGGAAGGAUUAAAAACAGAAAUGUUUGGAAUCGACGUGAAUAUUUGUUAUCUCAAAGCCAGCUCUCGAUUCCUCCAAAUUUACACUGCCCCAGGCAAAAGAGGUGGAAAGUUCUCACGUGUAAAUUGCAUAGCCUACAUCAUGGGAAGAACGCUGGGCCGGCCCUCAGGGGACACAGAUGCUGAUCUGAACCUAUCUGCUGAUUGAUGAUGUCACGUUGAGUUAUUUAACCUCCUCAGACCCCGGUUUGCUUUUUUUUUUUUUUUUUUUUUUUUUGGCAAAUUUAGGUGAAAAACAUAAAAUAAAUGUACCGUCUUCACCAU